UUGAGGAGUACAGUCAGAACAGGUCAGGGGCCAGACUUAACUCUGGCCUCUGUCUGCUUGUUGGGAAUUAUGUUCCAGGUCAGGUUGUGUGCUACCCAGAUCUUCUAUCCAUUCUGAGCCAUCCUAUGCUGGAUCCCUGUGCCCGAAGAGGAAUUCCACAUCGCCCCAACACACCUGCUGCAGCUCACUGCAACCUCCCUAGGUUCACACUGUGCUGUAGAAUGGACGCUUUCCCACAACCAGCUGGCCCAGGCUGCCAUUCCCACCCAUUCCCACCUGCCCUUGGAUGAGACUUGUCUACUGGUGGUCUCCAACAUGCCACACAGUGGCCAAGAGCAGGGACCUGCUUCCUGGAGUGGCUGAAAGUGCUCGGACGGACAGCCAAGCCCAUCAUGGCGGACAGCGGGACAGUGGGGCGCGAUCAGGCACUUGGAGCCAGGCAGGUGAGGGCAGGGGCCAAGAGGAGCUGGAGGCCCGAGGGUCCUAUUCUGGUCCCAGGGCUUGGGGAUACCCACCACCGUGGGCUAGCAGGAGGAUGGACGUGGACUUGAUCCCAAGAGCCUGGCCUGGCCGCAGCAGCAGCUCUACAGAAUCAAGGCAAGCGCUGGGGCCCCGGUUUGGGAGUGGGGAGGCACUCCGAUGUCAAGGCUAUCUAUGCUCAAUCAGUGGC
rnacentral:lncRNA from 1 species